UACGUAGGGUGCAAGCGUUGUCCGGAAUUAUUGGGCGUAAAGAGCUCGUAGGCGGUUCGUCGCGUCGGCUGUGAAAUCCCGAGGCUCAACCUCGGGUCUGCAGUCGAUACGGGCGGACUGGAGUUCGGCAGGGGAGACUGGAAUUCCUGGUGUAGCGGUGAAAUGCGCAGAUAUCAGGAGGAACACCGGUGGCGAAGGCGGUUCUCUGGGCCUGUUCUGACGCUGAGGAGCGAAAGCGUGGGGAGCGAACAGG
rnacentral:rRNA from 1 species